rnacentral:tRNA from 1 species
GGAUUGUGGCUCAGAGGUAGAGCGCUCGCCUAGCAUGUGUGAGGCACUGGGUUCAAUUCUCAGCUCCA